ensembl:lncRNA
GCCCAGUGAAUCCAGGAUGCGAUCUUCUAAAUGUCCUUCACUCCGGCACCUGGACAACACAGACCCUGGGUGCACCAGCAGCAGAAGAUGCGAGCCAGGCCUCGGGAGACGACCUCUCCUCCUCCACCGCCUCUGGUCUUCGAGAUCUCCACCCGGAACCGCCUCGCUUCCCUCCGUGAGAUGGAACGCGAUGUUGUGAUUGUCGGAGACUCCAUCAUUCGGAACGUCCGUGCUACAUUAGCCGAAGAUGAUGAUGAAACCCGGGAUCCCUGGCAGUGAGUUCCUGAAAUUUACUUUGAUCGGUCAUCAGAAUGAGGACUUUUCACAGUUGAUCUUGUGAAUGGAUUAAAGCUGGCCUUCUGACCAUGGAGUGGGUAAGUAUGUUUUCAUUCUCCAUUUUGUAUGAUAUGGAAACUAGAAGGUUGUGAGUAGCUUCAAUUGUCCCAUUACUGUACAAUCCGACAACAUUCAGAUUAUCUCAUCAGGGAUGGAAAGGAAAAUUUCUGACAGUG